GGGUGUGCAGAUAUAUUUAUAAACCGAUUGACCCGAUUGACCCGAUCAGAUCCACCCGAUAAAAGCCGGGUUACAAUUUAAGUGGGUCGUCUGAAGAAUUAUACGGGCGAAACCGCAGCUAAAGAACCAACCCGUAUCCCAUCUGUCCCAAGUUCCAACUCCCUCCGUCUUCAACAUAGCCCCCCCUCUCUCUCUCUCUCGACCUCUCUCAUCACCGUGGGUCUCUAUUUCUCUCGCUCUCUCUCUCUCUCUCUCUCUCUCUCUCUCUCUCUCACACACACACACACACAGACGGCGGCGUGGGUCUCUCUCUCUCUCACUCUCACUCUCUCUCUUCGGCCGCAGCUCCAAGAUCAGCUUCGGCGUGGGUCUCGACUCUCCAAGACGGAGGUAUGUUCCUUUUCAUAAAACCCUUCAGAUCAACUCAUAAUUUAUUCACAAGGCCAUACCUGUGCAUCAUGAUUCAUAACCCCAAUACAGACCUACACAGAAAUUAAUAAUCUCAUUUGCUAGCAAAUAACCUUCUGUUGUGUGUAUUUUUAUAUUCGGAUUUGUUGGGCUGUAAUUGCGGUGGUGAUAAGAAAAUCUUAAUCAUUUUCUAGUUUUCUUUGAUAAUGUUUCCUAAAAAUGGAAAAUCUGUAAUUGAGGAGGCCCAAGUUUUAUCGAUUUUUCUCUUCAGCCUUUCUAUUAUGCCCUGAGAUAUUAUUAUUAGUAUAAGAAUUGGUUAAAAAGGAUGUUGGGUUUUUUCUUUUUGGAUGGUUGCUGAAUUUUCGCCAUUAUUGGUUAAGAUUAAUGUGAACUAUUUUUGGAAAGUAUCGUCCUUUUUGGAGGGUUGUUGAAUUUUUCCCCAUUGCUUUGUUUUAUACAUUCUUUUGGUUAAUGGCUGGAAUAUUCCUGGCAGAGGGAAUAAUUUAAGGCCAAUUUACAGUAUUAAAUUUAGAGAUCUAAAUGGAUGUGGGGGGUUUUUUUUCUUAUAGGAUGUAAUUGCACAAAGAUUUGGGUGAAUGAUUUCUUGAAUUGAAGGGUUCUUGCUGCUUACUUCGUACUCUAGAAAUCAUACUCCUUUUGGAGGACAGAUGCAUUGGAUUGGGUUUAAGUAAAUAUCCUAGGGUACUUAUUUCUGCCAUGAACAGGGAGCUACCCACUUCUCCAUUUUGUCUUUAAGAAUGAAAAUGAUAGCAUGAUUCAUUUCAGGAAUGGUAUAAGUUAUAUCUUUAGAAUCUGAAUGGUAUAAGUUAGGAUUACAAAAUAAAUGCAUUACAGGAAUUCUUAAUAAUUAAUUACUCCUAUUAAUUGCUUUUACCUUAAUGUUCUGUUCUGUACUCAUUAAUUAAAUUAGUAUCAAAACCAAAUUAAUAAGAUACAAUUAAUGUAAUCAUCAUUAUGAGAUUUGGGUUAUCAAUUUGAAUUCAUAGCAUAACAAGAUUUGAUUUUGGUCAAUCCACAUCAAACAUAACAGGUUUCUGUUGUGAUAGAGAAUUUGAUCCCCAAUCAAGCUUUAUUUAUGUUGAUGAUGAGUGACUUAAGGCUUAUGGUCUACACAUUCUAUAUUGUUUAUUGUUUAUGUUAUGGAUGGCCUAUGGGAUGUAAUGUAGUGGAUAGAUGAAUGGAUUUGUGAGAAAGGCUGGAUGUUAUAUUCAUGUUUAUUUUUAGUUCAUGAAUUU